UACGUAGGUGGCAAGCGUUGUCCGGAUUGACUGGGCGUAAAGCGCACGCAGGCGGCUGCGCGCGUGGGGUGUGAAAUCUGGCCGCUUAACGGCCAGGCGCCAUCCCAUACGGCGCGGCUUGAGCCUUGCAGAGGGCGGUGGAAUUGCCGGUGUAGUGGUGAAAUGCGUAGAGAGUCGGCAGGAACACCCAGGGGGAAACCAGCCGCCUGGGCAAGCGCUGACGCUGAGGUGCGAGAGCGGUGGGGAGCGAACCGG
rnacentral:rRNA from 1 species